rnacentral:rRNA from 1 species
GAUCCUGGCUCAGGAUGAACGCUGGCGGCGUGCCUAACACAUGCAAGUCGAACGAAGCAUUCCGGUUGAGAUUCGUCAAGAACUGGAUUUGACUUAGUGGCGGACGGGUGAGUAAUGUAUGAGCAACCUGCCUUUCAGAGGGGGACAACAGUUGGAAACGACUGCUAAUACCGCAUAAUGUAUUGAGGAGGCAUCUCCACGAUACCAAAGGAGCAAUCCGCUGAAAGAUGGGCUCAUAUCUGAUUAGUUAGUUGGCAGGGUAACGGCCUACCAAGACUGCGAUCAGUAGCCGGACUGAGAGGUUGAACGGCCACAUUGGGACUGAGAUACGGCCCAGACUCCUACGGGAGGCAGCAGUGGGGAAUAUUGGGCAAUGGGCGAAAGCCUGAACCCCAGCAACGCCGCGUGAAGGAAGAAGGUCUUCGGAUUGUAAACUUCUUUUAUGAGGGACGAAGGACGUGACGGUACCUCAUGAAUAAGCCACGGCUAACUACGUGCCAGCCGCUGC